rfam:Myotis davidii contig35519, whole genome shotgun sequence.
AUACUUACCCGGCAGGGGAGAUACAUUGAUCACAAAAGCGGUUUUCCCAGCGUGAGGCUUGUCCACUGCACUCUGCACGUGCCGCCCCUGCAAUUUCCCCAUGUGUGGGGGACUCCACAGCGUAACUUGUGGUAGCAGGGGCCUGCGUUCAUUCUCUCCCCUA